AAAAGGAAAAUAAUGAGGGGCUGGACUCGCCUUUCUGCCUCCUCUUCUCUAAGAAGCUGUUCAUUCUCCAGGGAUAACGUGACUAUCCAUUUUCGUGACUAGAAAUAUCUUUCUUUUACCCAUUUUUAAAAGUGAUGAAUGAAUUCUAAUGUUUCUUUUUUUUAGAAACUCAAAGGAGGAUUUGUCUGUGAAGUCCCCACUUGGUGUUCUCCCAAGUGCUGUGUUGAGGAGGACACAGGAACAGAAGGCAACAGUCACUUCUGCUCCCUCAGAGCUUUCUAUAUCCUGGGGACAGAUCGUGGACGCUCUGGACAGUGUCUCCUGCUCAUCCCAAGCAGAGGGAAGGCUUGGUCAAGUGACACCUGACAUAGAGAGUGAGGAUCCAGUGUCAGGGGAGACUGUCCUCCUGAGAACAGCACUGCUUAGAUGUGCCGUGUUGGUGCUCAUCGUCUUGUACCUCAACCCCAUCCCCGUCAGUCUGCUGGUCACUCUUGCAAUUGUGAAAUAUAUUCAGGGCCAGUUGAAAAACUGGCUCGUGACCCUACUGCAGAGCGGUCCCCCCACCCUGCCGCGGGGAGGGUCUCGCGGGGCAACGACCGCAAAGGCGGGUGAGGGCUGCCCGCUGAGUCACGGGGACCCCCGACCUGACGCCAGGAGGCCGAGGGCUGGGGCGCAGCGAGGUCGCCGGACAGCCCGCACCCCGCCCCUCCCAGCAGCCGCGGGCGGAGGAGAGAGAGGCGCCUCGGGCAGAGCGGGAAGAGCCGCCGUCAGCCGGCACGGCCGGUCCCUCGCCUGGCGCGAGGUCAACGCCCGGAGAGCGCGACGUCACCGUCUGCGUCCCGGGAUUUAACCUCUCUUAUUAGGAAAAGGUUUAAGAGCUUCUUCUAGGGGACAUGGACAUCCCACCUCCUGAAUGUCUUCUUCCCAGAUGAUAUUUUGGGCCAUUCUUCAGGCUUCGUUCCUGAUCGUUUCUCGCAUCUUUCUUAAGUGGAGGCAUUUCUGAGCCUGCCUCUCGGAACCUUCCAGAUGGGCUGAAUACCAAAUUCUCUAGGACUUUUCUGCUGUGACUUGAAUGAAAGAAAUCGAGGAGAGGGGACGAUGGCACAUGGACACAGAUGUCUCAGGAGUUUCUCUCCGAGGACUAAACAGUGACAGAGACCUAUGGAUGCAGCAGGUGUUGGAUGAGCCCCACCCGUGUGGGAUGAGCCUCAGUUGAUGGUGGAGUCCGGCUUUAUUCUGAAGCUCUGUGCUGGGAGAAUUGGAAGGUAGACCUUGGAGGACUGGCUGAGCCAUGUGAGGCAGGGACCUGGAGGACAAAAGUCUUCCGGAAAUUUCUGGAUUGCGGAGCAUAAACCCCAACCGUUUCCUGAUCUUUCUGGGGCACGUUUGCUUGCAGGUGGGGAAUGUCAGAUGUCACAAGACACCAGGCCUCAUUCUGGGGUUUAUGCAAACUCACCCCAUAGGCCGAAUCGGUCAUAGAGGCCCGGGUGGUGAGAUCGGGAGUGUGGAUUGAAAUGGGGCCUGAGCCGGACCUGGGUGAGGGUUAGGGACUGAGACGGGAGCAGGGUUUGGGGCAGGCACAACAGUUGGAGACGGUUAAGUGCCGGAGAUCCUUCAGCUUUGAAGGAACUUGAGAUUGACUGAGGAACACAAAUUUGGAGGAAUAGCCACCUGGGAGAAGGACAACAGAGCGCAGGGACUCGCCAUGCAGAGACAGCAGGUGCUAGAAGAGCUGGAGAUAUCUUUGCUGCAGGUCGUCCUCCAAGGUCUCAUAAUUCAGGGGCUCUUGGUGCAUGUGCUGCUCCUCUGCUUUGCCUUCGUGUCUCUGGCGAGGAAGGGAAACUGCCGCAUCCUACUGAAUGGCAGCUGUGGCCACAUAGUCCUUGAAGAAUUGAGACGGUUGCCUGGCCUGAGCUGCUUUGGAAUAGACCCCACUUUGUGUUCCUUUCGCUUGCACAUCAGAAACUGCACCCAAUUGCUAACUAGUCUCUCCCAGAGAGCCAGCAGGGCAGAGUUGGGCAGGGAGAGGUGAGCAGACACUACAAGGCUGGCUGCAGGGUAUCCUGAAAAUGAGGCCUCAAAAGAGUGGAGGGUGAGAAGCUCUUGAUUGAAAUCACGGGGUGCCCAGUCAGAGGGGAACAAGUCCUGGGCAUGAAGAUGCCACCAGGAGAAUGCUAACACUGCCAGCUUUGGAGGGUCAGUUCUUCUCUUUGUAACCACACAAGGGGUCAGUUCACGAGCGCUACCAGGAGAGAACAUCUCCAGAGGAAGCUUCAGUAAGGCGGGAGCCGGUUUAGGUGGAGUCACGGCUAAAGUGCCGUCUGGCGGUGGUGGAGCAGACGGGGCUGGCGGUGCGUGGUGACGAGCACGGGCAUGAGUGGGAUGCGUGACAGGGGAUGGAUGGGGAAAGGGGCCGAUGUAUCAUGAAAGGCUGGGGUCAAAUACCAUGGUGGUGUUCCACGAGAAAGUGGCCUUUGGUUGGAGAAGAGUAUGUGCUUGAGGAGUAUGACAUGGGGGACGGGGAACGGCAAGAGGCUGGGGUGCGGAAGGGUCAGGCGGAGGGCUGGAGGCAGGUGUCCUGGAGGGCUUUCUGAGAGCGCGGUCAUGCUGGAGGCCAAAGGGGCCACAGAGGGAGCAGCAGCAUGGAGAGAUUCCCUGGGCAGGGAUGGUGUGGCUUUUCUUUCUGUUUUGUGGCAGAGCUCACAGAGGGGGUGUGGGUGUGCCGGGUGAUGCAGGUGGAAGAUGACAUCAAUAUUACACUGUCCCAGGGGUCUGCAGAAGACAGGAGGUACAAAGCUGCAGCCAGGACCGUGACAAGGGAAGGGGAGCCUGUACGUCCAGUGGGGGUGGGGCCCCUGCAGCCUGCCGCCCCCUCCCCUGACUUCACAAUCCACUGUCUAGCCUCCCCAAGCCCUUCCCUCACAUUCCCAUUCCCAUGGCGACCCCUCCUAUGGCCUUGGUAGGGGCCUUGAAUCCCUGAAAUGCACAGAACAUGCUUUCGACAAGACCCAGAGACAAGGGGAAAGAUCCAUCACCUUUCCACGGAAGAAAGCAGCCUCCGUCCAUCUGUGGCCUCUCUCAGGAUCAUUCUCAGAGCUGGGAACCAGGAGAGAAGGUGAUAUGUGAGGAAGGUAGAAGCAGAGAAUCACACGGGGCUCCCUUUAUGGGAGACCCUGGGCCUGUUAAGCUCUGGCAGCCCCAACAUCAGCAGACGUGGUCAAAUGCUCAACAGUAAUAUUAACAAGGGUCACGUG